GCUGGGCAUGGUGGUGCACGCCUGUAAUCCCAGCUACCUGGGAAGCUGAGGCACAAGAAUCACUUGAACCCAGGAGGUGGAGGUUGCAGUGAGCCAAGACUGCGCCACUGCACUCCAGUCUGGGUGACAGAGUGAGACUGUGUCUCAC
rnacentral:SRP_RNA from 1 species